GACGAACGCUGGCGGCGUGCCUAAUACAUGCAAGUAGAACGCUGAAGAGAGGAGCUUGCUCUUCUUGGAUGAGUUGCGAACGGGUGAGUAACGCGUAGGUAACCUGCCUUGUAGCGGGGGAUAACUAUUGGAAACGAUAGCUAAUACCGCAUAACAAUGGAUGACACAUGUCAUUUAUUUGAAAGGGGCAAUUGCUCCACUACAAGAUGGACCUGCGUUGUAUUAGCUAGUAGGUGAGGUAAUGGCUCACCUAGGCGACGAUACAUAGCCGACCUGAGAGGGUGAUCGGCCACACUGGGACUGAGACACGGCCCAGACUCCCACGGGAGGCAGCAGUAGGGAAUCUUCGGCAAUGGGGGCAACCCUGACCGAGCAACGCCGCGGGAGUGAAGAAGGGUUUCGGAUCGUAAAGCUCUGUUGUAAGUCAAGAACGGGUGUGAGAGUGGAAAGUGCACACUGUGACGGUAGCUUACCAGAAAGGGACGGCUAACUACGUG
rnacentral:rRNA from 1 species